rnacentral:rRNA from 1 species
CGGACGAACGCUGGCGGCACGCCUAACACAUGCAAGUCGAACGGACUUAAACGGAGCUUGCUCUUUUUAAGUUAGUGGCGGACGGGUGAGUAACACGUGAGCAACCUGCCUUUCUGAGGGGGAUAACGUUUGGAAACGAACGCUAAUACCGCAUAACAUAUAUUUAUCGCAUGAUAGAUAUAUCAAAGGAGCAAUCCGCAGAAAGAUGGGCUCGCGUCUGAUUAGCUAGUUGGUGAGGUAAUGGCUCACCAAGGCAACGAUCAGUAGCCGGACUGAGAGGUUGAACGGCCACAUUGGGACUGAGACACGGCCCAGACUCCUACGGGAGGCAGCAGUGGGGAAUAUUGCACAAUGGGGGAAACCCUGAUGCAGCGAUGCCGCGUGGAGGAAGAAGGUUUUCGGAUUGUAAACUCCUGUCUUCAGGGACGAUAAUGACGGUACCUGAGGAGGAAGCACCGGCUAACUACGUG